rnacentral:rRNA from 1 species
GAUGAACGCUGGCGGCGUGCCUAAUACAUGCAAGUCGAGCGAACAGAUGAGGAGCUUGCUCCUCUGACGUUAGCGGCGGACGGGUGAGUAACACGUGGAUAACCUACCUAUAAGACUGGGAUAACUUCGGGAAACCGGAGCUAAUACCGUAUAAUAUAUUGAACCGCAUGGUUCAAUAGUGAAAGACGGUUUUGCUGUCACUUAUAGAUGGAUCCGCGCCGCAUUAGCUAGUUGGUAAGGUAACGGCUUAUCAAGGCAACGAUGCGUAGCCGACCUGAGAGGGUGAUAGGCCACACUGGAACUGAGACACGGUCAAGACGACUACGGGAGGCAGCAGUAGGGAAUCUUACGCAAUGGGCGGAAGCAUGACGGAGCAACGCCGCGUGAGUGAUGAAGGUCUUCGGAUCGUAAAACUCUGUUAUGAGGGAAGAACAAAUGUGGAAGGAACUAUGCACGUAGUGACGGUACCUAAUCAGAAAGCCACGGCUAACUACGUG